GUGUGUGGGAGGGGCCAUGGGAGGGCGGCCAGGGGCAGAAGGACUUGCAAGGCAGUGCUUCUUGCUCCCCAGGGCCCUCUGGCAUCCCCCCUGGGGUCCCUCUGGCCCAGUCCCCUUUCCCUUUGCCAGUCGCAGCUGAAAUGUCCUUCUCCUGCUGUCCUCUCACCCGUCCCAGGCCCCAGAAGUUUCUCAUCUUCCUGCACUCAUUGCCUUUUCAUUCGCACUUCCCUCUCCAUGGUGAGAGGAGGCGGUUUAACCUCUCUGAGCCUCAGUUUCCUUAUCCACGCGAGAUGGUUGGAUUGGGUGAUCCUGAAGGUCUGCAGGUCCUCUAGGACUUUAAGUGAUUGUCAUUCCUAUUUAGAUGUUUCCCACGGGGGUCCUUGGAAACCUCCCAGACACUGACUGAGCCUCUGCCAGGGGCUGGGGACUAAAGCCAGUGAAUAGUGGUGGAGAUCAGGGCACCCACAUCAGUGUGAAGAGGAGGUGGUGCCCUGCUGACCCUGCUGCUGUCUGCUUUUCCCUCAGUUUGACCCUGGGAACACAGGCUACAUUAGCACAGGCAAGUUCCGGAGUCUUCUGGAGAGCCACAGCUCCAAGCUGGACCCGCACAAAAGGGAGGUCCUCCUGGCUCUUGCCGACAGCCACGCGGAUGGGCAGAUCGGCUACCAGGAUUUUGUCAGCCUAAUGAGCAACAAGCGUUCCAACAGCUUCCGCCAAGCCAUCCUGCAGGGCAACCGCAGGCUAAGCAGCAAGGCCCUGCUGGAGGAGAAGGGGCUGAGCCUCUCGCAGCGACUUAUCCGCCAUGUGGCCUAUGAGACCCUGCCCCGGGAAAUUGACCGCAAGUGGUACUAUGACAGCUACACCUGCUGCCCCCCACCCUGGUUCAUGAUCACAGUCACGCUGCUGGAGGUAACUCAUCCACGUUACUUGAAGAACUCCCUGGUUUACCACCCACAGCUGCGAGCACAGGUUUGGCGGUACCUGACAUACAUCUUCAUGCAUGCAGGGAUAGAACACCUGGGACUCAAUGUGGUGCUGCAGCUGCUGGUGGGGGUGCCCCUGGAGAUGGUGCAUGGAGCCACCCGAAUUGGGCUUGUCUACGUGGCCGGUGUUGUGGCAGGGUCCUUGGCAGUGUCUGUGGCUGACAUGACCGCUCCAGUCGUGGGCUCUUCUGGAGGGGUGUAUGCUCUCGUCUCUGCCCAUCUGGCCAACAUUGUCAUGAACUGGUCAGGCAUGAAGUGCCAGUUCAAGCUGCUGCGGAUGG
rnacentral:sRNA from 1 species